UUCUUUUCCGCCGACAAUGGCGGGGGGGCCCUUCCCCGUCAUUCCUGGAACUGUGCUGGAAGGAGCAGGGGGUCCCAGGGAAGAGGCCCUGACUAGAGGCUGUGACAAUGGCCUCCAGCCUCCCAGGCAACCCCACAACCUGGCCGUAGCGUGGGGGGAAGAGCAGGCCUUCUCCGAGUCCCCACCACCAGCGUGAAGCCCCUGGCUGGGUCCCUGCUGUCACAGCUGGUGCCCGCGGAACCUUGGCUGGGAGGAAGAGGCUGCGGCAGGGCGGAGGGGCCGGGCUGGCGGGAGCUGGCACGCGGGCGGCUGACCCGUGGGCAGGCCCUGGCGCAACCCUGCACCUGCCAUUGUGGGCGUGGGUCUGGGGGUUGCCUGUGGCUGGUGGAUGCUCCAGGGGACAAGGGCCUUCACUGCCUCACAGCGGAGCAGAGGACCGCGGGGAGCACAGCGGGCGCCUCUCUCGGCUUCCCCCGCCCAGGGAGACAGAGAAGGCGCAGUUCCAACGGGACCAGGCUCGGAUGGGUCCCUGGAGCGCACCUGCUGCACAGAGUUCCCUGGCCCUGCUUCCUCAUCUCCCAGCCUUUGUCACCGUCCUGCACAUGUCAGGUCAGGAGGGUCACCCUCCUCUGACUUCCCUCCCUCCCCACCCCUCUGCCGCCCCAGACAUCAAAGGGGAACUGAGUCCCAACCCCAGCACGCCUGUCCUCCUCCUGUCUUUUACCUUGGGGAGAAAAUCAAAUUUCAAAGGCCCCUGUCUCUCGGAUCAGCAGGGAGGGGUGGAGAGUGAGAGGCUCGGCUCUGCCUGGGAAGCUGCCGGAGCCUUUGAUCCACUCAGUGCUUGGCCGCUUGGGCUUGGCACAGUGCUGCGGCCACCCCAGAGGAGGGCGUGGGCAGGGGGAGCCCCAGAACAGCCGAAGGGUCUGAGACGCCAGCAGCGUCCCCAGCCCUGGAGGUCCUGGGAGGAGGCAUCAAUUCAGCCUCGUGAAGCCGUGGGCAGGGAGCGUGGCCCUGGCAGGAGCGUCACUGCAGGGGUGGCCAGGGGCCUCCGGUCAGGGUUUGCUCACUGGAUGCCCAGCAGGUCCCUCCCGCCCUGGCUCCGGCGGCUGCACCUGCAGAGUGGGGCCACCUGCAAGAGCUCGGCUCCCACAUCGCACAGAGCGCUCUGCUGACAGCACGUGUCGGGGUUGGCACCUGGGCUCGGGCGCCAGGCUGUCUGGCACCUGCUGCCUGGGAGCUGUGUGCUCUUGGUUUCAGAGCUCACUGAGUCUGCUGGUGGCACCUGCCUCAGAGGUCCGGGUGAGGCUUAGCGUGGUUAGGAUGUUACUAGAGCAGUGCUGAACACGCCACAUCAGCUGCUGCUGUGCGAGACAGAGCCCCUCCUCCGCACAGAACGAAGGGCUGGCAACACUCUCUUGCCCCCUGCGUUUGUGACCAUGGCCCAGAGCAGUUGCCACCCAAAUCCAGAGGGAGACAGGGUGGGUGUGGCUAGACCUCUUCAGGCCACAGCCCUGGGUUAAAUCCCAGCUCCGCCCUUUGUCGGCUGUGUGUCCUUGGGCAGGUGCCUGCCUUCUCUGAGCCUUCACAGCUCAGCUGUGCACAGACACACAAAAACUCCUACUUUGGAGACUGACGUGAAAACUGUUAGUAAAUGAGGGGUGGCAACAACUGCAAUGUCCAUCAGCGGAUGGCUGGAUAAGCAACACGAGGUCCACCCACACAGCGGGGCACCAUCCGGCACAGCAAGGAAGGCGGCGCCACCCGGCUACCGCGUGCAGGAACCGGACGGCACUGUGCUGCCUGAGCGAGGCCAGACACAGGCCACACAGUGUCUGAUUCCGUGUCUACGACAUGUCCAGAAAUCCCUAGAGAUGGAAAGUAGAUCAGCGGCUUCCGGGGGGCGGGCCGAGGACAGGGGAUGGGGACUGCUCAGUGGGUGCGGGGUUUCCUUUUGGGGGAUGAAAUUGCUCUAACACUGACUAUGCUGAUGGUCACAUGUGUCCGUGAACACACUAAAGGCCACUGAGCCACACUCUGAGUACGUGGAUCGUUCGUGGAUCGUAUCUCAGUGGAGCCGCCGAGAGAGGUGAGUGCGGCUGACGGCCAGAGCUCGACACCCUGCAGCUGGGUCCACGGAAUAAGACAUGAGGACCGUGCCGUGGCAGGGCAGGGGUCUCGGGGCCGGGGGCUGACCCACUCUGAACCUCACAAUGCACAGGAGAACUGCUGGAGCUACAGGGAUUAGCGCCACACCUGGCAGGGACCUGCUGGCACAGCGAGCAGCUGGCUUAGGUGACACCUCACCUGGCCACCUGUCUGCUGGGGCCGCCUGCGCCCGAGCGAGCAGCAGAGCCCCACUGCAGGUCCAGAGCCUCCUCCUGGGACUGUCCCCGUCCAGCCAGGACGAGCCCCGCCAGCCGCCUGUGGGCUGGGCGUCCCCACCCCGCCACCUCUCCACCUUCCCGGAGCUCCCCUCCCCCUGGAGAAUGUCCUCCCCCACCCCGCGCCCCUGCACCUGCUCUGCACCCACAUGGCAGCCAGUUCCCUGGCCAGGUGCCCCUGCUCUGCUGCAGCUCCUGACCUGGUGUUUGGGUUUUGUCAGUUUUGCCGUCACCUUUGCAGGUGUUGCAUGCAGCCCUGUCUCCCUGGCCCUGAGCGCCUGGGGCACUGGCGACCUCUCCUCCCAGGGCCCCUCCCUCGCGGGCCGGGGAGGCGGAGCACCGGAGCUGAGAAAGGCCUGCUGGAGCUCUGGCUCUCGAAUUGGAACAGGCGUCACCUGGGGCCCUGUGCAAGCACAGACUGCGGUAUCGCCACCCACCCCUCUGACUCAACAGGUCUCAGUGGAGCCCAAGAUGUCACAUCUCUCACAGGCUCCCAGCCACGCUGACACUGCGGUCCCCGAGGGAGUGUUAGAAUCCUCCCUCAGCUGCCCCAGGCCAAGCGCAGCCCUGGGGCCAGGGAGAGGGCGGUGACUCACCACGGUGACGUGCUCCCGGUCUUGCGUGUUGUCAGGCUGGAGGACGCAGGUCACCGCCAUGCCAUCUGGUUCCUUCCCGUCUGGUGUCCCUUGGGAACUCCCGCAUGAGCCUGCCUGGGAGGCAGCAUCAGACCCUCCUGGCUCCCAGCUGGUGGCAGUGCGUGUGCAGCUGAGAGGCGAAGAUGUGGAUCCCCGAGGGGGGCAAAGCCUGCAGGGCAGGAGCCGCAGCGUCAGGACCCAGCCCCCGGCGCCCGUCAGAAAGCCCGGCAGAGAGUGGCUCCUGCAGAGCGAGGCAGCACCUGCCGGGGCCCCCCAGGCACGCUCAGAAGCAGACGAACCCCCGUGGUCCUUUGAGCCCCUCUUGAGCCCCGAGAGGCAGGUCGGUUCACCCCCACUCAGCCAGCAGGCCUCCGAGGCAAGCCCGCACGGGGGCCUGGGCCUUGCGAUGGCGCUGUGGCCCCCAGAGGCCGACCGCUGGCCCGGAGAUGCGGGUGCCUGGCAGUGCAGGGAGGAAUAAGCUCUUCUGGGGCCAAAACAAUAUUCUUUUCUUUUUCCUUCGAAUAAAUCUUGCACAAUUCCA